GAUGAACGCUGGCGGCGUGCCUAAUACAUGCCAGUCGAGCGAACAGACGAGGAGCUUGCUCCUCUGACGUUAGCGGCGGACGGGUGAGUAACACGUGGAUAACCUACCUAUAAGACUGGGAUAACUUCGGGAAACCGGAGCUAAUACCGGAUAAUAUAUUGAACCGCAUGGUUCAAUAGUGAAAGACGGUUUUGCUGUCACUUAUAGAUGGAUCCGCGCCGCAUUAGCUAGUUGGUAAGGUAACGGCUUACCAAGGUGACGAUGCGUAGCCGACCUGAGAGGGUGAUCGGCCACACUGGAACUGAGACACGGUCCAGACUCCUACGGGAGGCAGCAGUAGGGAAUCUUCCGCAAUGGGCGAAAGCCUGACGGAGCAACGCCGCGUGAGUGAUGAAGGUCUUCGGAUCGUAAAACUCUGUUAUUAGGGAAGAACAAAUGUGUAAGUAACUAUGCACGUCUUGACGGUACCUAAUCAGAAAGCCACGGCUAACUACGUG
rnacentral:rRNA from 1 species